AUAUAGCCCCGAUAGCAGUGAAAAUACGCUGCUGCCGGGGUUCGGCAGUAGAGAUUGUAACAGAUAGCGGGACCGAGA
rnacentral:sRNA from 1 species